GUAGGUGGCAAGCGUUGUCCGGAAUUAUUGGGCGUAAAGCGCGCGCAGGCGGUUCUUUAAGUCUGAUGUGAAAGCCCACGGCUCAACCGUGGAGGGUCAUUGGAAACUGGAGAACUUGAGUACAGAAGAGGAAAGCGGAAUUCCACGUGUAGCGGUGAAAUGCGUAGAGAUGUGGAGGAACACCAGUGGCGAAGGCGGCUUUCUGGUCUGUAACUGACGCUGAGGCGCGAAAGCGUGGGGAGCAAACAGGAUUAGAUACCCUGGUAGUCCACGCCGUAAACGAUGAGUGCUAAGUGUUAGGGGGGUUUCCGCCCCCCUUAGUGCUGCGGCUAACGCAUUAAGCACUCCGCCUGGGGAGUACGGCCGCAAGGCUG
rnacentral:rRNA from 1 species